GGUUUGAUCAUGGCUCAGAUUGAAACUGUUGCAGGGAUGCUUUACACAUGCAAGUCGAACGGCAGCACGGACUUCGGUCUGGUGGCGAGUGGCGAACGGGUGAGUAAUGUAUCGAACGCGCCAGUAGCGGGGAUAACUACGCGAAAGCGUAGCUGCGCACGCCUUCGGGAAAAGCGGGGGGACCUUCGUCGUAACGAGUUAGAGCGGCCGAUAUCGAUUAAUAGUUAGUGGGCACUCGUCACCAAGGCGCGACGAUCCGUAGCUGGUUUGAGAGGACGACCAGCCACACUGGGACUGAGAUGGUUGGCCUGGACUCCAUGGGAGGCAGCAGUGGGGAAUUUUUGACAAUGGGGGAAACUCUGAUCCAGCGUCAUCCUGCGCACAUGGCCUCUUCGGUUGUAAAGCACUUUUGGCAGAACGGUAAUGAUAAUGCAUCCGACAAAUUGCAGAAUAAGCACCGCCAAUCACGUGCCAGAAAGAAAUGCGUAAUACGUGGAGGGAGCGUUAAUCGGAACUAAUGGCAGCGUGCGCAGGCGGUUCGGAAAAAGAAAGAUGGUAAACCCUGAGCCUUAACUUUAAACUGCAUUUUUAACUACCGAGCUAGAGUGUCAGAGGGAGGUGGAAUUCCGCGUGUAGCAGUGAAAUGCGUAGAUAUGCGGAGGGAAACACCGAUGGCGAAGGCAGCCUCCUGGGAUAACACUGACGCUCAUGCACGAAAGCGUGGGAGCAAACAGGAUUAGAUACCCUGGUAGUCCACGCCCUAAACGAUGUCAACUAGCUGCUGGGGCCUUCGCCUUGGCAGCGCAGCUAACGCGUGAAGUUGACCGCCUGGGGAGUACGGUCGCAAGAUUAAACUCAAAGGAAUUGACGGGACCGCACAAGCGGUGGAUGAUGUGGAUGCAUCUGAUGCAAAUGCGAAAACCUUACUCACCUUGAUGUCUUAACCUGAAGAGAUUUGGGAGUGCUCGCAAGAGAACCGAACACAGGUGCUGCAAUGGCUGUCGUCAGCUCGUGUCGUGAGAUGUUGGGUUAAGUCCCGCAAUGAGCGCAACCUCUUGUCAUUAGUUGAAAAGAAAGGGCACUCUUAAUGAGACCGCCGGUGACAAACUGGAGAAGCGUGGGGAUGACGUUUAAGCCCCGCAUUCUUAUGGUAGUUUUCCACACCAGUCAUACAAUGGUCGGGACAGAGGGUCGCCAACCCGCGAGGGGGGAGCCAAUCCCAGAAACCCGAUCGUAGGUCCGACUGCAAGUUCGCAACUCGACCGCGUGAAGUCGGAAUCGCUAGUAAUCGCGGAUCAGCAUGGUCGCGGUGAAUACGUUCCCGGUCUUGUACACACCGCCCGUCACACCAUGGGGACGUGGUUUACCAGAAGUGCUGUGCUCAACCGCAUAUGAUAUGGGAUUAUCAGAGACCAUGACUUCAGUGUGGAAGUCGUAAUGGAAGGUAA
rnacentral:rRNA from 1 species